rnacentral:siRNA from 1 species
CCAAAUACGCUGAAAAUGCUGGC